GAGUUUGAUCAUGGCUCAGAACGAACGCUGGCGGCGUGCCUAACACAUGCAAGUCGAACGGGGAUAGAUAGCUUGCUAUUUAUUCUAGUGGCGCACGGGUGAGUAACGCGUAGAUAAUCUGCCUUGGACUCUGGGAUAACAUUUCGAAAGGGGUGCUAAUACCGGAUAAGCCCACGGGGACGUAAGUUCUUGCGGGAAAAGGGGGCCUCUGCAUAUGCUCUUGAUCCAAGAUGAGUCUGCGUACCAUUAGCUAGUUGGUAGGGUAAGAGCCUACCAAGGCGACGAUGGUUAGCUGGUCUGAGAGGAUGAUCAGCCACACUGGAACUGAGACACGGUCCAGACUCCUACGGGAGGCAGCAGUGGGGAAUUUUGCGCAAUGGGGGAAACCCUGACGCAGCAACGCCGCGUGAGUGAUGAAGGCUUUCGGGUCGUAAAGCUCUGUCUAGAGGGAAGAAAUGAUAUUGGGUUAAUACCCUGAUUUCUUGACGAUACCUCUGAAGGAAGCACCGGGCUAACUC
rnacentral:rRNA from 1 species